CCGCGACCCCAGGUCAGGCGGGACUACCCGCUGARUUUAAGCAUAUCAAUAAGCGGAGGA
rnacentral:rRNA from 1 species